UACCCCAAAGAAUACCUUGAUGCACUACAUACACUCAUCUAUGUUGAAAACAAUUCAAUUUUGUUAUAUUUUAACUUAUAUCACUUAAAACUGUUUAUAAUUAAAUGAUUUUAAUUUUUCGCUUAUCAAAAUAUUUUUAAAAAAUUUAUACAUUAUUUUUAAGAUUAGCUACACCAGAAGACUUACUUUGAAGUCCUCCAGACGACUUCCAACAUCUUAGACGACUCAGACGACUUACUAAGGCUAUAUUCGUAAAAAUGGCUUCUGUUUUUUUAUUUGGUCACAAGGGACUGGGCUGUAAUUUCACAAGGCUUUUAGGUUAGUUUUGUAUUUGAUUCAAGUUUGGGUAUAAUUUGGGGUUAAAAUCAAGUUGUGGGUUAGUUUUGGCAAAUUUCUCU
rnacentral:lncRNA from 1 species